rnacentral:rRNA from 1 species
AUUGAACGCUGGCGGCAUGCCUUACACAUGCAAGUCGAACGGUAACAGGUCUUCGGAUGCUGACGAGUGGCGAACGGGUGAGUAAUACAUCGGAACGUGCCUAGUAGUGGGGGAUAACUACUCGAAAGAGUGGCUAAUACCGCAUGAGAUCUACGGAUGAAAGCAGGGGAUCGCAAGACCUUGUGCUACUAGAGCGGCCGAUGGCAGAUUAGGUAGUUGGUGGGAUAAAAGCUUACCAAGCCGACGAUCUGUAGCUGGUCUGAGAGGACGAUCAGCCACACUGGGACUGAGACUCGGCCCAGACUCCUACGGGAGGAAGCAGUGGGGAAUUUUGGACAAUGGGCGCAAGCCUGAUCCAGCAAUGCCGCGUGCAGGAUGAAGGCCUUCGGGUUGUAAACUGCUUUUGUACGGAACGAAAAGCCCCGGGUUAAUACCCUGGGGUCAUGACGGUACCGUAAGAAUAAGCACCGGCUAGCUACGUGCCAGCCGCCGCGGUAA